CUACUCUUGACAUCCAGAGAACUUUCCAGAGAUGGAUUGGUGCCUUCGGGAACUCUGAGACAGGUGCUGCAUGGCUGUCGUCAGCUCGUGUUGUGAAAUGUUGGGUUAAGUCCCGCAACGAGCGCAACCCUUAUCCUUUGUUGCCAGCGGUUCGGCCGGGAACUCAAAGGAGACUGCCAGUGAUAAACUGGAGGAAGGUGGGGAUGACGUCAAGUCAUCAUGGCCCUUACGAGUAGGGCUACACACGUGCUACAAUGGCAUAUACAAAGAGAAGCGACCUCGCGAGAGCAAGCGGACCUCAUAAAGUAUGUCGUAGUCCGGAUUGGAGUCUGCAACUCGACUCCAUGAAGUCGGAAUCGCUAGUAAUCGUAGAUCAGAAUGCUACGGUGAAUACGUUCCC
rnacentral:rRNA from 1 species